rnacentral:lncRNA from 1 species
CCACACUGAAACUGCCACACACCUCGUCUCCAAGCUCCUCUUCUUCUCUUUUCCUCUUUUUCUUUCUGUCUCUUUUUUCCUUAUUCUUAUUAUGCUUCUCUUGUUUAUAUAACAUACUUCUUUUCACCUUAUUUUUCACACGAGACAAGUCUACUGAACGCUUUUUAUCACAAGUACCAACUUCGCUUACCUCACUUUUGUCCGCCAUCUUGGCCGAGUGUCACGCUUAC